AUGCGCAUUGGAACGGAAAUAGCUAACUGCGAGGGUAUAGACAUCGGAACGAGAAGCAAGUCGAUUGUAUUCAUUGUGUCCGGCUACUGUUGUAUUAGAAUGACACUGAUAUAUAUCACUACUCAGUUUACCUCUGUUACGAGCCAUUACUACUGUCUCUGUGCUGGUGUUACUGAAAGUAAUGCUAGCUUCUGCUUGGAACAUCCAGACCUGGUGGGACUGCAUCGUGGUGACGGCAGCACUUCUCCAUGUAAUUCAGUGUUCACAGACACAUUGUUGCCCCUGUGUUUGCGUGAUGGACAUCCUCUGGGCCUGCCUCGUCUCCUGCGCGACUGGCACAAGUUGUCAGCGUUCUAUACAUUCUGUCCACAUCCAGCAGAUCCAGAUUGGUUUUGGCCUAGACCAAGGUCUGAACGUGUCCUCUUCCACACAACACUCACAAAACAGUCUCACCGCUAG
ensembl:lncRNA